rfam:Melipona quadrifasciata isolate 0111107301 unplaced genomic scaffold scaffold160, whole genome shotgun sequence.
GAUGCAUCGAUCCUAACGAUCAACAAACUUUUCACUUGAAAGUUUGUUCGUUCGGCUCGAGUUAUCA